rnacentral:misc_RNA from 1 species
AAGUCGUAACAAGGUUUCCGUAGGUGAACCUGCGGAAGGAUCAUUACCGAGUGGCUUGGCGUCCUGCGAAAGCGGGGUGGCGCCGGUUACCCGACCUUUAUGUCAUCAGCACCGGACUCGUCGAAAUUCUGGUUCUCGGUUUCUUCGGAAGCGAGCGAUGAGAGGACGACGAGGAUGGAGUAUAUAUUUCGGCGGAGGUGGUAGGCGCGUUUCUCUUCUUCGGGAGGAGACGACCUGCCCGCCGCCGGUGGGAUUUUCAACUCUUUUUUGAGCAAGCAUGAAGUCUGAAGAAAACGAAAACAAUAAAAGCAAAACUUUCAACAACGGAUCUCUUGGCUCUG